UAUCACAUUGAAACACCAGUUACCGUAAGAUCACCGAAGUUAAGUAAAACCGAGCUUGGAUAGUACCUAGAUGGGUAACCGUUUAGGAAUAGCAGGUUCUGU